rnacentral:rRNA from 1 species
UACGUAGGGGGCAAGCGUUGUCCGGAUUUAUUGGGCGUAAAGAGCGUGUAGGCGGCCAGGCAGGUCCGCUGUGAAAACUCGAGGCUCAACCUCGAGAGGUCGGUGGAAACCGUUUGGCUAGAGUCCGGAAGAGGAGAGUGGAAUUCCCGGUGUAGCGGUGAAAUGCGCAGAUAUCGGGAAGAACACCCGUGGCGAAGGCGGCUCUCUGGGACGGUACUGGACGCUGAGACGCGAAAGCGUGGGGAGCGAACAGG